CCGCGCACGCGCACGCACUCGCGCACGCCGGCGCCUUCCUUUGGGCGCCCGGGGUCGGCGGCGCGCGGGGCAAAUGGAGUGGGUGCUGGCGGAUGCGCUGCUCUCGCAGAGCCGGGAUCCCCGGGUCCUGCUUGGGGCGCUGUGCCGCGGGGAGGUAUCUGCGGAGCGCGUGGAGACCCUGUGUUUUCUUCUGCAGCGACUGGAAGAUGAGGAAGCGCGCGGCGGCGGCGGCGGCGCGGGCGCGCUCCCGGAGGCGGCGCGCGAGGUCGCCGCCGGGUAUCUGGUGCCGCUGCUGCGGGGCCUGCGCGGGGGCCCAGCGGGCGGCGCGGAUGACCCUGGGCCCGCGGCCCGCCAGCGCCGGCGCGUGCUGAGGGCGGCAGGCGCUGCCCUGCGCUCGUGCGCCCGCCUAGCCGGGGGCCCGCAGCUGGCGGCCGCGCUGGCCGAGGAGGCGCUGUGCGACCUGCUCAACGCGGGGCCCGCGCCCGGCCUGGAAGGGGCCGCCGAGGCGGCCGUGGAGGUGCUGGCGGCCGUGGGGCCCUGCCUGCGGCCUCGCGAGGACGCGCCCCUGCUGGAGCGAGUGGCGCGGGCCGCUCUCGCGCUGGCGCUGGGUGGGGACAAGGCGGGGCCGUCCCCGGACGCUGCGGCGCUGGUUGCCGGGCGGCUGCUGCCGGCUCUGGGCCGGUGCGGCGGGGCGGCGCUGCGGGUUGUGUGGGGCGGGCUGGUUGCGCCCGGCGUGUCUGAGGAGCCGGGCCGCGUCGGGUCGCAGCUGCUGAUUCUGAGCGCCCUCGCCGAGAAGCUACUGCCAGAGCCCGGCGCAGACAGCGUGCCUGCCGCGCGCGAGGCGGGCCUGGACGCCCGGCGCUGCUGGCGCUUCUGGAGCGCGGUGCAGGCCGGGCUGGCCUGGUCUGAGGACGCCCUGACGCGCAAGCGGGCGCGCUACCUGCUGCAGCGGGCGGUGGAGGUGUCGGCGGAACUGGGGACCGACUGCGCGUGCGCCCCCGGCGAAGGACCCGGCCCAAGUCUGUUUUGGUGGUCUGAGAAGAAAAAAGAUGAGCUUCUAAAGUUUUGGGAAAACUAUAUUUUAAUUAUGGAAACUCUUGAAGGAAAUCAGAUACAUGUUAUAAAGCCAGUUUUACCAAAGCUAAACAGUCUGUUUGAAUAUGCAGUGUCAGAGGAAAAUGGAUGCUGGCUCUUUCACCCAUCCUGGCAUCUGUGCAUUUAUAAAAGAAUGUUUGAAAGUGAAAAUAAAAUCCUGACUAAAGAAGGUGUUACCCAUUUUUUGGAACUGUAUGAAACAAGGAUUCUUCCAUUUUCACCAGAAAUUUCUGAGUUUAUCAUUGGACCAUUAAUGGAUGCACUUUCAGAGAGCUCUCUGUACAGCAGGUCCCCAGGCCAGCUGAUAGGAAGUGUUUCUCCACUGGGACUGAAAUUACAGAAGUUUUUAGUCACUUAUAUUUCUUUUCUUCCAGAAGAAAUAAAGAGUAGUUUCCUGUUAAAAUUUAUUCAGAGGAUGACAAGCAGACAUUGGUGUGCUGUUCCCAUUUUGUUUUUAUCUAAGGCUUUGGCAAACAUCCCACGAUGUAAAGCUCUGGGUAUAGAAGGACUUCUUGCCCUCAGGGACGUUCUGCAGUGCACCAUGAUCACACAUCAGAUCCUGCUGAGAGGGGCGGCGCAAUGCUAUCUCCUGCAGGCCACCAUGAAUCUGGUAGACGUGGAGAAAGUGUCGCUCUCUGACAUCUCAACUUUUCUCAUGUCAGUGAGACAAGAGGAGUCAUUAGGAAGAGGAACUUCACUGUGGAUGGAGCUCUGUGAUUGGUUGCGUAUUAACGAAAGCUAUUUCAAGCAAUCCUCAACUUGUAGCUCCAUUGGACUUCACGAGACUUCUUUAAAUGCUUAUGUCAGGAACCUAGUGCAAGAGUAUAUUAGGUCACCUGCCUGCGAAGGAGGAGAAAACAGCUGUAUGCCUGAUUGGUUUGAAGCUAAGCUUGUUGCUCUGAUGGUGUUGCUGGCCAUAGAUGUAGAAAGAAUGAAGAGUCAAUAUAGUGAAAAGCGGAGGACACAGAAUGUAUUAAGGAUAUUCUUAGAUCCUCUCCUGGAUGCCCUUGUGAAGUUUGGUACAAAUGCCUACAUGCCCUUGCUGAAAACUGACAGAUGCCUGCAGUUGCUGUUGAAGUUACUGCACACUUGCUUGUUGAAAGGUUCCGGUACCCGAGAUGAUGAGGUAUUUACUCUUCUUCAGAACUGUAUCAUGUCUACUACAGAGAGCAUUUCUGAAUUUAUUCUCAGACGACUUACUAUGAAUGAACUAAGUACUGUUUCAGAUCUGGAUCGUUGCCAUUUGUACCUGAUGGUGUUAACUGAGCUUAUAAAUCUCCACUUGAAUGUUGGGUGGAAAAGAGGCAACCCUAUUUGGAGAGUUAUUUCUCCUUUGAAAAAUGCAUCCAUUCGGCAUCUUCAGGAGAUGGACCAUGGACAGGAGCCCACACUGGGCAGACAGAUGCAGAGAGCCGCCAGCAUGGCUGCGUUGGCCAUGGUGUGUGAGGUCCUCAGCCAGAAGCCAGAGCUACAGCCGGACUCUCUGGAUGCAGGUCCCCCAGAAAUGUUCAUCUCAUCACUCCAGCUCAAUCAGACUCUGCAGAAGCCCCACACGGAGGGGGAGAGCAGUUUUUUUGAAGAGUCAUCAUCUUCCCAAGGAUGGGGGAAAAUAGUUGCACAAUAUAUUCACGAUCAGUGGGUCUGCCUCUCUUUCUUGUUGAGAAAAUGUGACACCCUUACACCAGCCUCAGGGGGUGAAGUUCCGGUGGCAGUACGGACUUUGCAGUCUGCACUAGAAGCCCUCACAGUUCUUCCUUCCGAGCAAGUCUUACCUGUGCUCCACUGUAUGAAAAUUUUGGUUCCCAAGCUUCUGACCACCUCUGAAUCACUCUGCAUAGAAUCUUUUGACAUGGCAUGGAAAAUCAUAGCCUCUUUAAGCAACACUCAGCUGAUAUUCUGGUCUAAUUUUAAAGCUUUUGUUCAGUUUGUUUUUGAUCCCAAAGUUCUUACCAUCGCUGCGAAAAUCAAGGGCCAGGCAUAUUUCAAAAUAAAAGAGAUUAUGUACAGGAUAAUUGAAAUGUCUGCUAUAAAAACUGGAGUCUUCAAUAUCCUGAUAAGUUAUUGCUGCAGAUCUUGGGUAGUUUCUGCUUCCAAUGUGUCUUUAUCAAUUGCUAAAAAUUACAGUGAACUUGUCCUUGAGGCAUGUAUAUUUGGAACUGUGUUUCGGCGUGAUCAAAGACUUAUUCAGGAUGUACAGACGUUCAUAGAAAAUCUUGGACAUGAGUGCGCAGCAAAUGUUGUUAUUGAAAAUACCAAAAGAGAAGACCAUUAUGUGAGAAUUUGUGCCGUCAAAUUCCUGUGUUUAUUAGAUGGCUCAAAUAUGUCUCAUAAGUUGUUUAUGGAAGAUCUUGCGAUCAAGCUAUUGGACAAAGAUGAGUUGGUGUCCAAAUCGAGAACUCGAUACUAUGUGAACUCUCAACAACACAGGGUGAAAAACCGAAUAUGGCAGAUUCUGCUUGUACUUUUCCCCAAAUUUGAUCAGAAUUUCUUGAAUAAAAUUAUUGACAAGAUUUUCCAGGCUGGCUUCAUCAAUAAUCAGGCAUCCAUAAAAUAUUUUAUAGAAUGGAUUAUUAUACUGAUUCUUCAUAAAUUCCCUCAAUUUCUUCCGAAGUUCUGGAACUGCUUUUCUUAUGGUGAAGAAAACCUUAAAACAAGCAUUUGUACAUUUUUAUCAGUUUUGUCACAUUUGGACAUCAUUACUGAAAAUAUCCUGGAAAAGAAACGAAUUCUGAAGCAAGCCCUUAUUAUCGUGCUGCAGUGGUGCUUCAACCACAAUUUUAGCAUUCGACUGUAUGCGCUAGUCGCUCUUAAGAAAAUCUGGAGCGUGUGUAAGGGGUUACGCAUUGAAGAACUUGAGGCUUUAACUUCUGUUAUUGAAUCCAGUCUGAGUCAAGUGGAAAACAUGCACGGAGCAGGGAGCGCGAAGAAGAGCUGGCAACGCAUCCAGGAGCAUUUCUUUUUCACAGCGUUCCACCCGCUGAAGGAUUACUGUCUGGAGGUGAGCAGAGAAGAGCACGUGUGAAUUUCCUUCCGUGUCUGUAGCCCUGAUGCAUCCUUAUAUAAUGAGGCUAACUGUCCCUGCAGCACCGCCUUCACGUUGUAAAGUUCUCAGUGUUAUUCUGUCGCCGUGUGCAGGCGGCUUGCUCGCGCUUCGCUCUUCAGCAGUGAAAAUUGGCUAGUCAUCUUCACUUUCUGUUUCUCAGGCAGUGUCUGGCUUGUAAACCCUGGAAGGGGGAAUAUUUCACUCUGAACAGAAAUCUGUUCUGACAUUAAAAGGAAAUGAGUGAAAACAUUUGUGCAGGUGAGAUUUGUUGUAUGAAGCCCAUUGUUAUGAAAGAUCAAAAAGAUCUACUCUUUUAAGUGCAUAUUUUAGGUUCUGGAUGAUUGAAAUUGUAUAGCAAAUGAUCCAUCACCUCACUGAUCAUAAUAGAUAAUGUACUUAUGUAAUUUUAAGAACCAUAAACGUAUUUAUUACAGUUAGCAUGUGAAUUAAUUAACAAUAUAGAGAUUAUUAAAAUUCAUGUAAAUGAUUACUACUUUCUUCCUUUUUCAACUGUAAUUAUCAUGUUUUGCCUUUGAUUUUUAACUAUGUGACCUAAAUUUAAAUACACACACACACACACACACACACACACACACGACCUGGGACCUUUCCUCUAAGGAACUUGGAAGUAUCAGUAACUUAAGCUACUGUGCAUAAGAGUUUUUGUUGUUGCUGUUGGGUUAUUUGUGUGUGUGGAUUACUAAUAAACUGGCCUUUUUAAAAAGAAGUAUAGAGAUUUGUUUAUUGUGAGAUAUUCAUCAAAGAACAUUAUUGUGUGGUUUCUGUUGCUUCAUUGCAAAAUUUAUUUAGGAGUUUUCAAAUAUUUUAACAUGUUCUGUUCUAUGUCCUUUAGCUCCCAGAAUGCUUUGUUUGACAUCUUUCUGAAGGACUCUUAAUAACUCUGUAGUGCUAAGUCAGCCUUUUCUAUUCACUUCUCCAGCAGGAACGGUAUUUUACAUCCUUCCACGCCUCUCCGGCCUCAUUGAGGAUGAAUGGAUUGCCAUUGGUAAAUUCACC